GACGAACGCUGGCGGCGUGCCUAAUACAUGCAAGUCGAACGCUGAAGGAGGAGCUUGCUUCUCUGGAUGAGUUGCGAACGGGUGAGUAACGCGUAGGUAACCUGCCUGGUAGCGGGGGAUAACUAUUGGAAACGAUAGCUAAUACCGCAUAAUAGUAGAUGUCGCAUGACAUUUGCUUAAAAGGUGCAAUUGCAUCACUACCAGAUGGACCUGCGUUGUAUUAGCUAGUUGGUGAGGUAACGGCUCACCAAGGCAACGAUACAUAGCCGACCUGAGAGGGUGAUCGGCCACACUGGGACUGAGACACGGCCCAGACUCCUACGGGAGGCAGCAGUAGGGAAUCUUCGGCAAUGGACGGAAGUCUGACCGAGCAACGCCGCGUGAGUGAAGAAGGGUUUCGGAUCGUAAAGCUCUGUUGUAAGAGAAGAACGAGUGUGAGAGUGGAAAGUUCACACUGUGACGGUAGCUUACCAGAAAGGGACGGCUAACUACGUG
rnacentral:rRNA from 1 species